UAAGGAAACUAUUUUUACUUCUCCUGAAUAAAAUCCCAGCACAUUAGCUACUAGCCAAUUUGCCUUCGGAUGCUGUAAGGAAAUUACCAACUCACACCAUAAAAGGAGAGAUGAAAAAGACUUGACUCAGGACAUUUCAUUACAUUGGAAUUUUACUGAAAGUACCACAGGAAGCUGGUUCCAUGGAGGAAGCACCCUUGUGGAUUCACUUCUAUCAACUAACCCCUCCAACCUUCUCACCCCUGCCUCUGACCGAGAUGUCCCUGAGGUCCUUUGGUUGUUCCAGGAGCCCUGAGGUCCCUUCAUCCAGAUCAGAAGUGUGAUUGUCAGAUGACCAUCCUGGACCAUCUGCAGCUUUUGCUGAAAGCCAGGAGUUGUGAGAACAAUUUGAAUGCAGCAGCUGGAGUCUUUUGAGAAGAGAAAACCACUAAGAUAAGCUAAAAAAUUGGUUUCACCACAUGACGACUGCAAAAACCAAGAUAUGUCAUUCAUAGUCUCUGAUCCAGUGUGGAGACCUUGAGCAAGAAAUGCCGCCUCCUGGUGGUUCUGGUUCCACACCUCUUUUGUGUGAUACCCAUAAGUUCAUCUCUGGUGACUUAGACUGUUGGACUCAAGAAGUCCCUAUCAUGCACAUGUAUAAGCAUGGGCAUGUGCAUUUUGUGCCUUUAAGUUUACAUUUUGCAGCAAGGAAAUUCAAAUUCUAUGAUCAGAAUAAAUUAUGCCAUUUAAGUGAA